AAGCUUCCGUUCUGCGGACUAUUUGUGCAUACUGGUUGCAAAGUUUUGUAACUGCGUUGGUGGCGCCCUUCGCGUGGGCAGCAGGGCGGUAUGUUUUCACCAGUGUUCAUGAAAGGUGCGUUGCGAAGCAAAUGCAAUGCCCCGCAAUGUGAGUGCGACGGAUUUUGCCGUUCCGCGAACAAUGAACCUGCUGCACCAUUCCAGGCCGGUUGGCGCUCAUACUUUGGGCACAGCCCAGUAUAACAUGCACGAAUUGGGACAAACCAUGACGUGUAUUUCUCCGCACCCAGUCAACUGCCAGAAGUGACUCAAACACAGGCCACCAGUGGCACUCAGCUGUACUAGUGCACUGCUGCGGAAAUUGCCAGCACCAGUGGCUUUGCAACAGCUGCUUCACAGCAUGUCGGGGUCUGCAGAUUGGCGAGAUGAGAAAACAACUUCGAGGAAACUAUUCCUUCCGCCCGA